AAAACAGGGGAGCUGAAGCGAUUCGGCUGAGAGUAAGACUGUUGCGGUCUUAGACCCUUAACCUGAUCCGGAUAAUACCGGCGUAGGAAGUU
rnacentral:ncRNA from 1 species